UUCUGAAACACAACAAAGUCCACCUCCGACAUCUCCCUCUCCCUCUGUCUCUCUGUCUCUCGUCCUGACAUGCAGGAAUUUGAGCAUGAAUUAUACAUAGCAACACAGCAGCCUUCCAGCGAGCCCUGCUCUCAAACAAAUAAUGGGCAGCAUGACAACAGCAUAAUGAGGCAGCGAGAAGUUCGGAGCGAGAGGGAAAGUUUCUGUGGCAGAAAUCUGGAGUCUGACUCAAGGAAUUUCCCUUGUAGCUUGAACCUAACUGCUCUUCCAUCUAACCACGAUGCCUGAGAUGCCAUGAAAAGGAGGAGAGAGACGUCACAAUUGAGUUUCUAGGAGGGAAAAAUGGAAUAUUUUCCAUAAAAGAGUACGGUCUAGGCCUGCUCUAAAAGAAGUGCCCUGAGAUAACCCCUGCUGUAAAAAUAAAA